UCACCUCACUGGGAGCUGAGCCUUCAACACAGAAAGCAGACCACAUCACAGAGCAACCGGUGCGUAACUUUUGCUGACUGAGUUCGAGUGACAAAAGCAAGAUUGAGUGUGCCAUGUAUGCAGUGUGACCGUUUGUGUAAAAAGGUGUGCGACGUGUGCCUGGAACAUGGGCCGCGUUACAUUACUGUACUGAUGUGUCUUCAGGGAUGAAAAGGAACCCAUACAAAUCGAAGACCCGAGUGCUGUUAAGCCUGACGGCUGGCUCGAUGAUGAACCAAAAUUUAUCCCCAAUCCUAAAGCUGAGAAACCCGAAGACUGGAGUGACAGCAUGGAUGGAGAAUGGGAGGCGCCACACAUUCCUAACCCAGCCUGUCAGAUCGGAUGUGGAGAAUGGAAACCUCCCAUGAUAGAUAACCCAAAAUACAAAGGGAUCUGGAGACCACCGAUGAUCAAUAACCCUAACUACCAGGGAAUCUGGAGUCCUCAGAAAAUUCCUAACCCGGAUUAUUUUGAAGAUGACCACCCAUUCCUUCUGACUUCUUUCAGUGCUCUGGGCUUAGAGCUUUGGUCCAUGACUCCUGACAUCUACUUUGAUAAUUUUAUCAUCUG
rnacentral:lncRNA from 1 species